rnacentral:misc_RNA from 1 species
AAGUCGUAACAAGGUUUCCGUAGGUGAACCUGCGGAAGGAUCAUUAUUGUACUUAAGGUCACCAAUUUUUCCGAAAGAUUGGUGAUCAUCAGUACAUUUAUUAUUGAUCCUAUUUUAAAUAGGAGCAAAAAGUAUAUUUAAAACCCCCACACUUUUGAAAAUAAAACGUAUCUUACUUAAAAAUAAGUAAUUAAAGAUCACUUUCAACAACCUUUCAACAACGGAUCUCUUGGCUCUC